AGCAGUCGCCGCGGGAAUACAGAGGGUGCGAGCGUUAAUCGGAUUUACUGGGCGUAAAGCGUGCGUAGGCGGCUUCUUAAGUCGGAUGUGAAAUCCCUGAGCUUAACUUAGGAAUUGCAUUCGAUACUGGGAAGCUAGAGUAUGGGAGAGGAUGGUAGAAUUCCAGGUGUAGCGGUGAAAUGCGUAGAGAUCUGGAGGAAUACCGAUGGCGAAGGCAGCCAUCUGGCCUAAUACUGACGCUGAGGUACGAAAGCAUGGGGAGCAAACAGGAUUAGAUACCCCCGUAGUCCCUGUCUCUUAUAU
rnacentral:rRNA from 1 species